rnacentral:rRNA from 1 species
GUAGUUAGCCGUGGCUUAUUCUAGGGGUACCGUCUUCUACUCUUCCCCCUUAAAAGAAGUUUACAACCCGAAAGCCUUCUUCCUUCACGCGGCGUUGCUGGGUCAGACUUUCGUCCAUUGCCCAAUAUUCCCCACUGCUGCCUCCCGUAGGAGUCUGGGCCGUGUCUCAGUUCCAGUGUGGCCGAUCAGCCUCUCAGCUCGGCUACCCAUCGCAGGCUUGGUGGGCUGUUAUCUCACCAACUACCUAAUGGGACGCGAACCCCUCCUUCAGCGGAUUGCUCCUUUGACCUCAUCCCGAUGCCGGGUCGUGGUCUUAUGCGGUAUUAGCACUUGUUUCCAGGUGUUAUCCCCCUCUGAAGGUCAGGUUGUUCACGCGUUACUCACCCGUUCGCCACUAAAAUUUAUCUUCCAUCCGAAAACUUCUGAUAAAUCUCCGUUCGACUUGCAUGUGUUAGGCACGCCGCCAGCGUUCGUCCUGAGCCAGAAUCGAACCCUGA